CAGAYRUGCUUUCAGUUUCAGUGGAUGGAAACUGCAAGUAUUACCAUUUAAAGAAUGCAGCAAGAUUGGAGGAACACGCUAUAUUUCAGGACCUUUUCAUAGCCAAGGAUGAAAACGUAGGAAAAUUUGUGGACUGUAUACACAAAUCAACCAAAAAUAUUUUGUGGUGGGCAAUGGUCAGCAGCCAGGGAGAUCUCUCACAGAUUCAGCAGCAAACUGGAUGAGGAGGCUUGGAGGUAGCGGCUGGCCAACAGACAAUCACUUUUUUCCAUGGAUGUAAUAUGCAAGUACUGGCCAUAUCUUAAAACUAACAGAAAGCUGUCCUGAGGUCCAACACCUGCUUAAAAUGAAGCCAUUUCUCUCAAUUUUCCAUGGCAAAGCCCAUGAAUGUAAGACACAGAUGGACACAAAUCUUGUGCCAAGGCUCAUCGCAAGAUCAGAAAGGAGAAAACAUCUUAGCAUUGGCUUUAAAAGAUGUUGGUCACUUGAAGACUGAUACAGACACAGAAGUUCUGUCUUUGGAAGAGAUCCUGUCCGGUGACACAACAUUGCCAUGGCAGCAAUCACACAGGGACUCUCAGUCUUCACACAAAAACAAGGGCAAUCGAUGGCAUCAUGAUAGUAAAGAGACUGGAAGAGGAAAAGAGGAUCCUUAUUGAUGGACCAUCAUUGGAAAUCUCUGUCAUCCUAUGAAGACACUCUAAAGGAGUUUCCCACCUGUUAUCAGGAGGUAAAUUUAAAAGUUUGUUCUGUGCCCUAACUGACGAAGGUCCAAGAGGUCUCCAGAGCAUUAUCCUCAGAGAGCUG